rnacentral:rRNA from 1 species
ACAUGCAAGUCGAACGGUAACAGGAAACAGCUUGCUGUUUCGCUGACGAGUGGCGGACGGGUGAGUAAUGUCUGGGAAACUGCCUGAUGGAGGGGGAUAACUACUGGAAACGGUAGCUAAUACCGCAUAACGUCGCAAGACCAAAGAGGGGGACCCUCGGGCCUCUUGCCAUCGGAUGUGCCCAGAUGGGAUUAGCUUGUUGGUGGGGUAACGGCUCACCAAGGCGACGAUCCCUAGCUGGUCUGAGAGGAUGACCAGCCACACUGGAACUGAGACACGGUCCAGACUCCUACGGGAGGCAGCAGUGGGGAAUAUUGCACAAUGGGCGCAAGCCUGAUGCAGCCAUGCCGCGUGUAUGAAGAAGGCCUUCGGGUUGUAAAGUACUUUCAGCGGGGAGGAAGGGAGUAAAGUUAAUACCUUUGCUCAUUGACGUUACCCGCAGAAGAAGCACCGGCUAACUCCGUGCCAGCAGCCGCGGUAAUACGGAGGGUGCAAGCGUUAAUCGGAAUUACUGGGCGUAAAGCGCACGCAGGCGGUUUGUUAAGUCAGAUGUGAAAUCCCCGGGCUCAACCUGGGAACUGCAUCUGAUACUGGCAAGCUUGAGUCUCGUAGAGGGGGGUAGAAUUCCAGGUGUAGCGGUGAAAUGCGUAGAGAUCUGGAGGAAUACCGGUGGCGAAGGCGGCCCCCUGGACGAAGACUGACGCUCAGGUGCGAAAGCGUGGGGAGCAAACAGG